rnacentral:rRNA from 1 species
UACAGAGGUCUCAAGCGUUGUCCGGAAUUAUUGGGCGUAAAGAGCUCGUAGGCGGUCUGUCGCGUCGGCUGUGAAAACCCGGGGCUCAACCCCGGGCCUGCAGUCGAUACGGGCAGACUAGAGUGUGGUAGGGGAGACUGGAAUUCCUGGUGUAGCGGUGAAAUGCGCAGAUAUCAGGAGGAACACCGGUGGCGAAGGCGGGUCUCUGGGCCAUAACUGACGCUGAGGAGCGAAAGCGUGGGGAGCGAACAGG